rnacentral:rRNA from 1 species
UAACGAAUAUUCCGCAAUGGACGAAAGUCUGACGGAGCAAUGCCGCGUGCAGGAUGAAGCGGUUUCGCCGUGUAAACUGCUGUCAGGGGCAGGAAAAACUGAUCCGCCCCAAAGGAAGAGACGGCUAACCCUGUGCCAGCAGCCGCGGUAAUACAGGGGUCUCGAGCGUUAAUCGGAAUCACUGGGCUUAAAGGGUGCGUAGGCGGAUCCGUAAGCGCUUUGUGAAAUCCCCCGGCUCAACCGGGGAACUGCAGGGCGAACUGCGGAUCUUGAGGAAACUAGAGGCCGGUAGAACGAUUGGUGGAGCGGUGGAAUGCGUAGAUAUCAAUCGGAAUGCCAAAAGUGAAGACAGCCGGCUGGGGUUUU